UACGGAGGGUGCAAGCGUUAUCCGGAUUCACUGGGUUUAAAGGGUGCGUAGGUGGGUUGGUAAGUCAGUGGUGAAAUCCCCGAGCUUAACUUGGGAACUGCCAUUGAUACUAUUAAUCUUGAAUACUGUGGAGGUUAGCGGAAUAUGUCAUGUAGCGGUGAAAUGCUUAGAUAUGACAUAGAACACCAAUUGCGAAGGCAGCUAGCUACACAAAUAUUGACACUGAUGCACGAAAGCGUGGGGAUCAAACAGG
rnacentral:rRNA from 1 species